UGAUCCUCAUUAUUCUUUCAUAGUGUUUUCUAAUCAUUCAUCGUUUACAUAAUAUUACCCAUUUUGAUUGAUUGCAGAUCAAUGGUGGAUACUUGGGUAAUUUCUCCUCCUUUUUUACCCACUGUUACACCAGUUCUUUUUGAUUCAGUUGUUGGAGGGCUGACGAUGUUUGAGCCUACUUAUGUCAUUUUCUCGGGUGCCUUUUUUCAUGUUAUGCAUAUAGACUAAUAAUACACUUAGUAAUUACGUAUCUUUUUAAUAUUAACGAUGCUUUGGUUCGUUCUUACAAGAUCCAGAGAAGACCAAACUACAGCUUCUACAAAAAGCACAUAUGUCGUUCACCUGGGUGGUUAUUUAGAAAGAUAAAUUCCAGUGAUGUUAUUAAAUAUGCGUCUAAUGUAAGCACCGCAAGGAGGGGAAGUUGACUCUGGCCACCCUCUAAUUUAGUAGCAUUAGUUUUCAAAGAGAAAUUAUGAGAAAUAACAGGUCAACUAAAAACGAAAUAAAACCAAUAGACGCUCAUGUGUGAAUAAAGACGUUGUGCCAAUUGUAUGUGUCAUCCAUGCAAAUUGGGUGACGCCAUUACUAGAAGAGAGCAUGUUGCUACUUAUUUACUUAGAGUACACUAGGUACCUUUGAUCUCCAAUCUUAUAUAGGUGUAAAAAUGGCCGGGUCAGGUUAAGUUUAGUUUUAUUUAAACGUAAUAACAAUUUGAAUUUUUUAAUCUAUUAUCUAUAUGUAUAAAUGAAAUGGGGUUUGGGACACGUGUCCCUAAAUGGUGGUUUAUACAUGAUAAUACAUGUUCAAUAUAUUCAAGAAUAUUGUACAUAAUUUUCAGUGUGUUUUAAAAAGUUUGACACUUGAAGAUUUGGUUAUCCAUCGAUGUGUGUCAUCAAAUGUGGCAAGUUUAUGUUUAUGCAAUUAAGGUGUUUGAUAAAAGGCUUAUAUGGGUUUUACCAGAUAAAUUCAUCAUUUCGGAUUUAAAUUAGCAUCAUUAGCAUAAAAUUCAUUCUCCUUCUAAGUCGGCAAUUUCAAGUGGUUCAGAAAUUACAAGUGGUUUGGCGGCGAGUACAGGAGGUUCAGCGAUCGGCGCUAAUUGUUCAGUUCUCAGUCGGAGAUUACAGGUGGUUUAGGUAGCAUUAUUGCUCUAAUUUAUUUUCUUUUUUCCAGAUUGAUGUUGUAGCUAAGAGCUGUGAUGGAAGGCUUCACAUUGCCAACAACGAUGAACGAGAAGAAAGUUUGAUUCAACUACUUACGAUCUUAUAGACUGUGUGGGCAUGGAGGAGCAUUUGUUUC
rnacentral:lncRNA from 1 species